rnacentral:sRNA from 1 species
AGAAUUUCGUCAGGACCUACCUCCUCCCAAGAACUGACGAAUACGGCCGGCAUUCACCUCCUCCCGAUUGCUGGCCAACAAAACGACACCCGCCGGACCUCCUCCCCGGCGGGUGUUGUCG